UACGUAGGGUGCAAGCGUUGUCCGGAAUUAUUGGGCGUAAAGAGCUCGUAGGCGGUUUGUCGCGUCUGCUGUGAAAACUCAGGGCUUAACUCUGAGCUUGCAGUGGGUACGGGCAGACUAGAGUGCGGUAGGGGAGACUGGAAUUCCUGGUGUAGCGGUGAAAUGCGCAGAUAUCAGGAGGAACACCGAUGGCGAAGGCAGCUCACUGGGACGGUACUGACGCUGGAGGCGACGAAAGCCGUGGGGAGCAAACAGG
rnacentral:rRNA from 1 species